rnacentral:rRNA from 1 species
GGGGGGGGGGGGGCUACACAUGCAAGUCGAGCGGUAACACAGAGAGCUUGCUCUCGGGUGACGAGCGGCGGACGGGUGAGUAAUGUCUGGGAAACUGCCUGAUGGAGGGGGAUAACUACUGGAAACGGUAGCUAAUACCGCAUAACGUCGCAAGACCAAAGUGGGGGACCUUCGGGCCUCAUGCCAUCAGAUGUGCCCAGAUGGGAUUAGCUAGUAGGUGGGGUAAUGGCUCACCUAGGCGACGAUCCCUAGCUGGUCUGAGAGGAUGACCAGCCACACUGGAACUGAGACACGGUCCAGACUCCUACGGGAGGCAGCAGUGGGGAAUAUUGCACAAUGGGCGCAAGCCUGAUGCAGCCAUGCCGCGUGUAUGAAGAAGGCCUUCGGGUUGUAAAGUACUUUCAGCGAGGAGGAAGGCAUUAAGGUUAAUAACCUUGGUGAUUGACGUUACUCGCAGAAGAAGCACCGGCUAACUCCGUGCCAGCAGCCGCGGUAAUACGGAGGGUGCAAGCGUUAAUCGGAAUUACUGGGCGUAAAGCGCACGCAGGCGGUCUGUCAAGUCGGAUGUGAAAUCCCCGGGCUCAACCUGGGAACUGCAUUCGAAACUGGCAGGCUAGAGUCUUGUAGAGGGGGGUAGAAUUCCAGGUGUAGCGGUGAAAUGCGUAGAGAUCUGGAGGAAUACCGGUGGCGAAGGCGGCCCCCUGGACAAAGACUGACGCUCAGGUGCGAAAGCGUGGGGAGCAAACAGGAUUAGAUACCCUGGUAGUCCACGCCGUAAACGAUGUCGACUUGGAGGUUGUGCCCUUGAGGCGUGGCUUCCGGAGCUAACGCGUUAAGUCGACCGCCUGGGGAGUACGGCCGCAAGGUUAAAACUCAAAUGAAUUGACGGGGGCCCGCACAAGCGGUGGAGCAUGUGGUUUAAUUCGAUGCAACGCGAAGAACCUUACCUACUCUUGACAUCCAGAGAACUUAGCAGAGAUGCUUUGGUGCCUUCGGGAACUCUGAGACAGGUGCUGCAUGGCUGUCGUCAGCUCGUGUUGUGAAAUGUUGGGUUAAGUCCCGCAACGAGCGCAACCCUUAUCCUUUGUUGCCAGCGGUUAGGCCGGGAACUCAAAGGAAACUGCCAGUGAUAAACUGGAGGAAAGGGGGGGGAUGAACUCCAAUCAUCAUGGGCCCUUCCAAAAAGGGGUACCCCCGUGCUUCAAUGGGGUAUUCAAAAAGAAACGACCCCCCGAAACAACGGACCCCCAAAGAAUUUCUAAUCCCGGAUUGGAGUGGGACUCGCCCCCUGAAGCGGAAACCCUAUAAUCUGAAACCAAAAGUCCGGGUAUACAUUCCCGGCCUUGCACCCCCGCCCCCCACCCCGCAAGGGUGGCGAAAAAAAAGAAGUUACCUCCGAGGGUCACUUGCUCU